UCUGGCAGGGAAACGCGCCUCCUCGGUACAGCCCCGCCAGCUGCGGGAGGGGGAGAAGGAGCGCGCGCCCGCCCGCCCGCCUCCUGCUCACGGACCCUUGCCUCAUUGAGUGUACAAGAUGGAAAAAUGGAACUAUAACUCCUGCAGAAAUUCCUUGAUACGGCUCCUGAACAAGCUCUUUCUUCAUCUCUGCAACGGCUGAGGUCUUUUCUACCCAUUCAGAAUUGUAUCCACUAAAAUGAACUUAAUAUUUUACUGUUGUGUGUAAUAUGGAUCUGUAGGGGUUGAUUUGUAAUAGUUACUUUGUGUCAGGGACUCUAUGGGUCUGGUCAAAAGACCACUGAAGUUAACUGAAUCAGGUCCUAUAUGUAUUACUUGAAAGAGGAAUAAGAAAAAUAUGCCAAGUGUUUAUGCAUAACAUCAAAAGGUCACAUUUAGGAGAAAUUCAUUAUCUUAUUAAAUACAGAUUAGUAUUCAAAUAAACAAUGGAACAGGGAAAGAAGGAAUAUCAGAAUUAGGGAUGUAAAAUUUAACCGAUUAACCACUAAACUUGAUGCUUAUCAGUUUCAGUUCUGCUGCAGCCCCACAUGCCCGAGGUCCCAGCUGCCACUCCAUGCACCUGGAGAUCUGGCUGCCGCCACACACACCCCUGUGCCCAGGGUCCUGGCUGCCUGCCCCGCCAGAGGACCUUCUCUGUCAUCCCCGUUACCAGGGUCUCAGCUGCCAGCCCCGCACCAGGGGUAUUGGCUGCCAGCCCCACAGCCGGAAUCCCGGCUGCCAGCCCUGCUGCCGGGACUCUGCUUCCAUGCCCGCGCCCAGGGACACCAGCAGCAGUGGGGAUUCCUGUGCCUGAGGAUCGCCUGCAUGGGGUGGUAGCGGCGAUCCCCAGCGUGAGGCCAGCAGUGGAGUCCCAGCUGUGGGGUUGACAGCCGGGACCCUGGCAGCUGGGCUGGCAGCCAAGACACCGGCGGCAGCCGGGAUCCUCAGCAGGGGGGCGGCAUUGGAGAUCCCCAGCGUGGAGCAGCAGCAGAAUCAUGCGUAAAACAUGGGGGUGCUGCAAUGCUAGUUAACAGCUUGUUACAGCUAAGAGAAAUUCUGUCUCUCAGAAUGAUCAGUUAACAAGGGAUAGCACACCUUUUGCAGGGGUUAGUUUAGUUAUAUUUAUCAUCUAUUUAACUUUUGUUUGUGGUUUUCACUUGUUUUCUAUACCAUGUCAAAUCAAUUUUGGCUUAAUUUAACCACAAAUAGAUGUGGUGACUUCACUUACUAUACUACAGACUUAAGUCAACUUAUGUUAGGUCUACUUACAGGCAUGGCAGUAAUUACUGCGCCCUAUCCAUCUUCUGUCGGCGGUGUGCAUCCUCACCAGGAGCGCUUCUGCCAACUGAAGCGGGGCAGUAUGGGGGGCUGAGAGUCAGGACUCUGAGCACUGCACACCUCCACAUUGGGAGCCCAGCUGUCCCUUCUCCUCUCCCCCAGGCUCUUGGCUCCCUGCUCCCAGCCAGGAGUGGGGGGCAGCACCCGUGCUUCUCUGCUCCCUGAGCAGGGAGCCUCCAGGUAGCAGUAUGGAACCAUGAAAUUGACAAGAUAGCCAACAGCCAAUGUAAGUAAUGCAGUGUCUACACAGACACUGCGUCACCCUAA